rnacentral:rRNA from 1 species
AACGAACGCUGGCGGCAGGCCUCAUACAUGCAAGUCGAGCGGUCCUUCGGGACAGCGGCGAACGGGUUAGUAACGCGUGGGAACGUGCCCUUUAGUACGGAAUAGCCAUUGGAAACGAUGAUUAAUACCGUAUACGCACCAAGGGGGAAAGAUUUAUCGCUAAAGGAUCGGCCCGCGUUAGAUUAGGUAGUUGGUAGGGUAAUGGCCUACCAAGCCGACGAUCUAUAGCUGGUUUGAGAGGAUGAUCAGCAACACUGGGACUGAGACACGGCCCAGACUUCUACGGAAGGCAGCAGUAGGGAAUCUUGGACAAUGGGCGAAAGCCUGAUCCAGCCAUGCCGCGUGAGUGAUGAAGGCCCUAGGGUUGUAAAGCUCUUUCGCCAGGGAAGAUAAUGACGGUACCUGGUAAAGAAACCCCGGCUAACUCCGUG